UCAAUCUUUUGAACAUCAAAUGGUGAUUGCAUUCUCAGGUAGCAGCAGGAGCCAUGGGGUGUGUUGGAAUCCUGUUCACUUGUGUGGUGGCUGUCUGCCUUUACAAAGGAUCCAGUUGGCCGCUUGCUCAAAAUGGUGUGCAAAAGAUUCAAGAUGAAUUGUCAGAAAAUAUUUCUCUGAGGAGGAGCAUUGCCAUUCUACAAACGAUGGAUUUUAUGUUGAAGCAACAAGUUAAAGAAG